CAGCAGCCACGGUAAUACGGAGGGUGCAAGCGUUAAUCGGAAUUACUGGGCGUAAAGCGCACGCAGGCGGUCUGACAAGUCAGAUGUGAAAUCCCCGGGCUUAACCUGGGAACUGCAUUUGAAACUGUCAGGCUGGAGUCUUGUAGAGGGGGGUGGAAUUCCAGGUGUAGCGGUGAAAUGCGUAGAGAUCUGGAGGAAUACCGGUGGCGAAGGCGGCCCCCUGGACAAAGACUGACGCUCAGGUGCGAAAGCGUGGGGAGCAAACAGGAUUAGAUACCCUGUAGUCCCUGUCUCUUAUACC
rnacentral:rRNA from 1 species